GACGAACGCUGGCGGCGUGCUUAACACAUGCAAGUCGAACGGAAAGGCCCCUUUGGGGGUACUCGAGUGGCGAACGGGGGAGUAACACGUGAGUAACCUGCCCUUGACUUCGGGAUAACUUCAGGAAACUGGGGCUAAUACCGGAUAGGAAUCCUUGCUGCAUGGUGGGGGUUGGAAAGCUUCGGCGGUUUUGGAUGGACUCGCGGCUUAUCAGCUUGUUGGUGGGGUAGUGGCUUACCAAGGCUUUGACGGGUAGCCGGCCUGAGAGGGCGACCGGCCACAUUGGGUCUGAGAUACGGCCCAGACUCCUACGGGCGGCAGCAGUGGGGAAUAUUGCACAAUGGGCGGCAGCCUGAUGCAGCAACGCCGCGGGCGGGAUGACGGCCUUCGGGUUGUAAACCGCUUUCAGCAGGGGCGAAGCUUGUGGUGACGGUACCUGCAGAAGAAGCACCGGCUAACUACGUG
rnacentral:rRNA from 1 species